AUGCAAUCCAUUAUUAUUAUUAUUAUUCUUUGUGCUUGUUGUCGGUUCAUCUGUCUGUCAUGCCCCUGCUCUCUGUCUCCUCUUGCAGGUAUUCAGGUUUCUUGUUUUCAGUUCAGGCUCAUGUUAGGUUUUAGUUCUCCCAGUUAAGGUUCUGUUAGCUCCACACCACUCAUUUCCUGUUUUUGUUUGAAUGUCAUGUACUGUAAAUAAAAGCUCACUCGCAUCAAAGCCUGUGCCUGCAUUUGGGACCUUCUCUUAUAACUCCACACAUCUGCUGCCACUGCCAUGACAGAAACAGUGAUUUACAUAGAUUUUUAAAAAUUAUUAUUUUUAACUAUAAUGAACUAAUACUGAAAUUAAAACCCAGCAUUGUGAAAACCUGUGCCCUUCUUUAAAAAUCCUUUAGCUAUUUGCUGAAUUUCCAAGGAAAAUGUCAACAUGCAGAUGAAUUAUACUUUUUCACAUUGCUUAAUAUUCAUUCAAAACACUGUGCUAUUGAGAGAGAAAAAAUCAUUCAAGUGUAAUGAACCACUGCUGCUUUUAAAGGACUAAUAUUACUUGAAUGAAGAAAAGAAAAAAACUUGAUCUGAGUUAUAAUUUCAUAGGUUAGAUAGAUGUUAGGACAGCCAGAAGUACUAGACGCACCAUACACCUGAACUAAAUGUCACCAUUACUCUUCGCCAAGUGCUCAGCGUGCCACAGUCAGUGUUAGUCGCUACAGUUUUGGUUAAAGAGCUGAUUUCUGCAGAAAGCUGUUGACUUUGUUUGUUUCUACAGACCUCCAGUCGGCUGUCAGGUUUCGUCUUAGACAACACUUACUCUCACCCAGCUGCUGGUCUAAAUGUGACUGUUCAGUUUCUCUAUCCUGUCACUCAUUCAGCUUACCUGCCUGCCCUCCUGUCGCCAUCACAGAACCCUACAGAUCACCUGCUCUGUAAUCAGCUCACCUGGACAACUCAUCCUUCCCCCACCACCUGCAAAACUUGUACUGAGACUCCCGGUUGCAUUUCCUGGUGCCCAUGCCCUCCACCAAACCUUGAACUUUGAGUGCACUAAUGUCUGGUGAUGUUUCCGACCCAUUCUAGCCUUAGUUUCUCAUUGUGACCUUAGAUCUUGAAAAAUACCCAAGUUAUAGUUCUCUGACCUUCUCUGACCUUGUUUCUCAUUAUUGUUGAUAAUUCUGUUCAGAGUUCAUGAUUCAUAGUCUUGUUGUAAUAAAGUUCUUGUGUUUUACGUCA